AGUCUACGAAGAGAUUUCAAAGCGAACGGUUGGAAUUGAAGAAGAAUAAAAAUUUUAAUAAAAAUAUAUUGGAAAUAAUCUAGCGGUUGUUAAAUAAAAAAGUCAAAUAAUAAAAGUUUAAUUUAAUGACAAAAAAAUCUAGAUAAUUUUUGAGUGUGUUGUUUUUGAAUGGAUAAAACAAAAAAUUUACGACAUCUUUGAUGAAAAUUUAAUUGAAAAAAAUAUAAAUUCAAAAUAAAAAUUUCAAAAUAAUCCCAAGCAAAUAAUUUUAAACGAAGAAAAUUGUGCAAAAAACAUGAAUAUUCUCCAAUACAAUAAAAAAUAUUAAGAGAACAAAAAAAGCAGAAUACAUAUAAAUAUCUCACCUCAACAGCAUUUGGAUUAAGCUCUAUUGUGUUUCCUUUGGGUCGAUGCCAACGAACAAAAAAACCCAACAAACUACCAAGUAACUCUGGUCUGUUUAUUGUGUCUGGGUUGGUUGUUUCCAAAAAAGAUAAAACAACCACCUUUUUUUGCUAACAAAAGCAACAAUAACAACAAACAAAAAUACUGUCAUCACAUAUAAAAAAUAAGUUUAAAUCGCAGUUUAAUUUGAAACAUAUAUAAAAUUCUUGCAAUUUUUGUGCUUUCGAAAAAAAAGAAAAAAAUUCUCAUCAAGCAGUAUAUUGUUAAAAGAAAACAAAAGAAAAUCAGCAGACGACUGUCAGCCAGACAACAACUUGAACAACAUCUUGAGUUGAAAAUCUAAAAUAAAAUAAAAU